rnacentral:rRNA from 1 species
CCUACGGGAGGCAGCAGUGGGGGAUAUUGCACAAUGGGGGAAACCCUGAUGCAGCGGCGCCGCGUGGGCGAAGAAGUAUUUCGGUAUGUAAAGCCCUAUCAGCAGGGAAGAAGAAAUGACGGUACCUGAGUAAGAAGCACCGGCUAAAUACGUGCCAGCAGCCGCGGUAAUACGUAGGGUGCAAGCGUUAUCCGGAUUUACUGGGUGGAAAGGGAGCGCAGGCGGCACGGCAAGCCUGAUGUGAAAGCCCGCGGCCCAACCGCUGGACUGCAGUGGGAACUACCGGGCUGGAGUGCCGGAGAGGUAGGCGGAAUGCCUAGUGUAGCGGUGAAAUGCGUAGAUAUUAGGAGGAACACCAGUGGCGAAGGCGGCCUACUGGACGGUGACUGACGCUGAGGCUCGAAAGCGUGGGGAGCAAACAGGAUUAGAUACCCUUGUAGUC